AGGUCUCCGGAUGUUGAUGCAGAAAGCUCGCGGGCGCCAGUCUUCCCCGGAGGAAAAGUUGGAGCGGAUGACAGAAAAUGACACUGGAGCACACGCGCUAAUUCACACUACCAUAACAGGCUGGAUGAAGCACGGGGUGUGACUCUGAGAUGUCUGUUUCCAGCUCACAGGCAGCUGCAGGCCUUUAAACAAAGAACACCAACUCUGGGAAUAAGAAUAAGAGGAACAGUUGCCGGGAUCUAUUGAUCAAGAAUUCCAUUAUCCCUUUAAAGCCGAGCGUAUCGCAGACGACACUUUGCAUUAUUGUAAUUGUGCGACGGUUUGUGCCAUCAGGAAACUUCCAACGGUUUCUGAAAGCUGAGGAGUUGCACGUCAAAUCCAACAUGCGGUUAUUUAUGGUAAUUGCACUCACACUGCUGCAGGAAGCUGGCAAAUCAGCGUCUUUGUCACCAGAGAGGAGUGAGUUGGAAAAAUGCCUGUACAUUGUCUCCAAUUUUUGGCCUGUUUUUGCGCAUUGAGACAAAAACUCAUAUAAAUUACUUUAUUUUAUUAUAAAAUAAUAUGAAUUAUUUUAAAUAUGUUUUAUACUGUUCAUAUUUCAAAUUUAACACGCAAAAUCUGGUCAUCAUGUACAACUAGUGUUUGUUUUUGUUUUUCUUCAUUUUAAAUUGUUAACUCACCAUUUUAACAUGCAGUGAUUUGUAAAUAACUUACUCACAGGACAUUUUCUGGCUCUUUAACGCUUAAAAAAAGCAAAAGAAAAUCCAGAAGGACAUUUUGAGGCUUAGGUGUUAAAGGGUUAUAAGAGACAAUGACUCACCUUCAGCUCUUAGGCUUUGUUUACAGCCUCGCCACUAAAACUGUAGUGCCACAACAGAUGUUGACCAAUCCCUUUCAGCUACAUCGUCUUUCUAUGUUGCAAAGAAACUUUAAGAACGAGGAAAGAGUCCAAAAGUAAAUCAAAAGCUAUUUAAACCUGUGUCAGUAUAACCACGUAGUGUUAGAGAUGGAAAGAUUGCCUCUGGUCAUGUGCCAUGUGCAUUCAAAAUGAAUGGGUCUGUCCGUGUUGGUUCACCUUUUUGUAGAUGAAACUCCACUAUCAACUUUUUUUUUUCUGUCCGUUUUUCUAGCCCACUGCAGCUUUGAUUUGGGUCCAUUUCAUGUUUUUAAUGAAAUCAUUAUUAUAACUAUAACCCAGAUUAAUGUUUUUUUUGAUGAUUAUAUGCCACAGUAAAUGUUGCAUUACAAGCAACAUAUGGACUCCAUGAACUGUGCUCAUCCGAACGGGCUACCCUACGCCAGGUUUAAAGACGAUAUUUGGCUGCGAACAUCACUUCACAGGAAACAGACAGAUGGAACAGCAGGGUAGGUGGGUGUACCAACCACUAGUAUCUGAAUAGGCUGCAAACUUUGGAG